rnacentral:rRNA from 1 species
AACGAACGCUGGCGGCAGGCCUAACACAUGCAAGUCGAACGCCCCGCAAGGGGGAGUGGCAGACGGGUGAGUAACACGUGGGAACGUACCCUUCGGUUCGGGAUAACUCAGGGAAACUUGAGCUAAUACCGGAUACGUCCGAGAGGAGAAAGAUUUAUCGCCGAGGGAUCGGCCCGCGUCUGAUUAGCUUGUUGGUGAGGUAACGGCUCACCAAGGCGACGAUCAGUAGCUGGUCUGAGAGGAUGAUCAGCCACAUUGGGACUGAGACACGGCCCAAACUCCUACGGGAGGCAGCAGUGGGAAUAUUGGACAAUGGGCGCAAGCCUGAUCCAGCCAUGCCGCGUGAGUGAUGAAGGCCCUA